CCAGGCUGGAGUGCAGUGGUGUGAUCACUGCUCACUGCAGCCUCAACCUCCUGGGCUCAAGAGAUCCUCCCACCUCAGCUUCCAGAGUAGCUGGGACCACAGGCACACACCACUACACCUGGCUAAUUUUUUAAUUUGUAUAGAGAUGGGUGGGGGGGGUGUCUUGCUAUGUUGCCCAGGCUGGUCUUGAACUCCUGGAUUCAAGUCAUCCUUCCACCUCAGCUUCUGGAGUAGCUGGAACCACAGGCACUCACCACUACACCUGGCUAAUUUUUAUUUAUUUAUUUAUUUAUUUUUGAGGUGGAGUUUCACUCUUAUUGCCCAGACUUGAGAGCAAUGGCACGAUCUCGGCUCACUGCACCCUCCACCUCCCAGGUUCAAGCGAUUCUCCUGCCUCAGCCUCCCGCGAAGCUGGGAUUACAGGCAUGCACCACCAUCCCAGCUAAUGUUUGUAUUUUUAGUAGAGAUGGGGUUUCUCCAUGUUGGUCAGGCUGGUCUCGAACUCCAGACCUCAGGUAAUCCACCUGCCUCGGCCUCCCAAAGUGCUGGGAUUACAGGCGUGAGCCACCAUGCCCAGCCUACACCUGGCUAAUUUGAAAAAUAUUUUGAAAAAUAUUUUUCAAAAUAAUCCCAGCACUUUGGGAGGCCGAGGCAGGCGGAUCAGGAGGUCAGGAGAUUGAGACCAUCCUGGCUAACAUGGUGAAACCCUGUCUCCACUAAAAAUACAAAAAAUUAGCCGGGUGUGGUGGCGGGCGCCUGUAGUCCCAGCUACUUGGGAGCCUGAGGCAGGAGAAUGGCAUGAACCCAGGAGGCGGAGCUUGUAGUGAGCUGAGAUUGCACCACUGCAUUCCAGCCUGGGUGACAGAGUGAGACUCCGUCUAUAAAAAAAUAUAUAUAUAUAUAUUUUUUUUAUAGAGAUAGGGUCUCGCUAUGUUGCUCAGGUGGAUCUCAAACUCAUGGACUCAAGCGAUCCUCCCACCUCGGCCUCCCAAAGGGCUGGGAUUAUAGGCAUGAACCACUGUGCCCAGUGCUACAUUUUGUAGAGAAAUUGGAAUAUCUGUAUUCCUAUAUAACCUGUCUCUUUUUUUUAUUUUGAGACAGAGUCUCACUGUCGCCCAGGCUGGAGUGCAGUGGUGCGAUCUUGGCUCACUGCAACCUCCGCCUCCCGGAUUCAAGCGAUUCUCCUGCCUCAGCCUCCCGAGUAGCUGCGAUUACAGGCAUGUGCCACCAUGCCCGGCUAAUUUUGUAUUUUUAGUAGAGAUGAGGUUUCUGCAUGUUGGUCAGGCUGGUCUCGA
rnacentral:lncRNA from 1 species